rnacentral:rRNA from 1 species
UGGGGAAUAUUGGGCAAUGGGCGAAAGCCUGACCCAGCAACGCCGCGUGAAGGAAGAAGGUUUUCGGAUUGUAAACUUCUUUUAUCAGGGACGAAGAAAGUGACGGUACCUGAUGAAUAAGCCACGGCUAACUACGUGCCAGCAGCCGCGGUAAUACGUAGGUGGCAAGCGUUGUCCGGAAUUACUGGGUGUAAAGGGAGCGCAGGCGGGAAAUCAAGUUGGAUGUGAAAUGUCGGGGCUUAACCCCGGAACUGCAUCCAAAACUGAUAUUCUUGAGUGAAGUAGAGGUAGGCGGAAUUCCGAGUGUAGCGGUGAAAUGCGUAGAUAUUCGGAGGAACACCAGUGGCGAAGGCGGCCUACUGGGCUUUAACUGACGCUGAGGCUCGAAAGUGUGGGGAGCAAACAGGAUUAGAUACCCUGGUAGU